UACAGAGGUCUCAAGCGUUUGUUCGGAUUCAUUGGGCGUAAAGGGUGCGUAGGUGGCGCCGUAAGUCAGGUGUGAAAUUUCGGAGCUUAACUCCGAAACUGCAUUCGAUACUGGCGUGCUUGAGGACUGGAGAGGAGACUGGAAUUCAUGGUGUAGCAGUGAAAUGCGUAGAGAUCAUGAGGAAGACCAGUGGCGAAGGCGGGUCUCUGGACAGUUCCUGACACUGAGACACGAAGGCCAGGGGAGCAAACGGG
rnacentral:rRNA from 1 species